UUGGACCAGAACUAGGGCGGGACCAGACUGGGGCUGUCCCUUUUUCAAGCUAAAGGGGAUGUACAUGCAGGUCAUCUUGCCUGGUUCGGAGCUGAGCUGCCGUGACCCUCUUUCCCUUGCCCGGUGUGAGCUUCUGGAGGCCACUGAGGCAGAGCCAGAGGCGCCAGCUGCAGAGCUCCAGCCGGCGGCAGAAGCAGGGCAGUGGACAAUGGUGGAGGUAGAGCUGGCUCCAGCUCCGUCAAUACCACCCCCUCUAGCGCUGGAGCCAGCGUCCCCUCCCUCAGCAGUGUUGGAGCUGGAGCAAGGGCCCACGUCGGCUCCAGCAGGAGUGGGAGCUGCUGAGCUGGAGUCACCUGGACCAUCACUUCUAGUGGGAAGUCCAUCUCCACCUGUGGCCAUUAAGGAGGGUGAGAAGAAGCCUAACCUCACGGCCUUCCCUCCUAAUCUGGUGGUGGAGCAGUUGACCGUGAUGGAUGCGGAGCUCUUCCGGAAGGUGGUGCCCUCUCAGUGCCUGGGCUCCACCUGGGGCAAGAGGAACAAGCCUGGCAAUGAGCACCUGGCACCCACCGUCCAGGCCACCGUCGACCACUUCAGAAGGGUGGUCAGCCUCGUCGUCACCACCUGCCUCGGGGACCCGAGCAUGACGGCCCAGGACAGGGUGAGGGUGGUGGAGCACUGGAUCCAGGUGGCCCAGGAGUGCGAGAUCCUGAAGAACUUCUCCUCGCUCCGCGCUGUCAUCUCUGCUCUGCAGAAAACCUCCAUAAGCCACCUGAAGAACACGUGGGCAGAUGUUUCCCGGAGGGGCCCUCCACGUUUGCCCCCCCGGAGAUCAUCCCCCAGAGAGUGCAGGAGAAACAGCAGCAGCAGCAGGUGAGUGUGCCUGUGGGGGAGGGGCUCUGCCUUCCCAGCUGGAGGCCUCAAAUCAAGAGAGGAGGGCCCUUCCUCCUGGUGCCACAGUGCCUGAGUCCCCCAGUAGAAGUGACCAGGAGGGGGGCCUGGAAGAGCUGGUGCAGGAUGGGGCCAGGGACCACAUACCCUGUGAUUUGCCAGAAGCCGGCCCUGGGAGGUGAGGAGGAGGAGUGUGGUGUUCUUGGGGUGUGAAGGGAGGAAGAAUUG